rnacentral:snRNA from 1 species
GUACUUGCUUUGGCAGCACAUAUACUAAAAUUGGAAUGAUACAGUGAUUAGCUUGGCCCCUGCGCAAGGAUGACACGCUAAGUAUAAACAAACACUGCUGAU